rnacentral:rRNA from 1 species
GACGAACGCUGGCGGCGUGCUUAACACAUGCAAGUCGAACGAAGUGGCGAACGGGUGAGUAACGUGUAAUCAACCUGCCCUUCAGGGGGGGACAACAGUUGGAAACGACUGCUAAUACCGCAUACUGAAGGAGGGGAUUGCGUCUGAUUAGCUAGUUGGCGGGGUAACGGCCCAGCAAGGCGAUGAUCAGUAGCCGGUCUGGGAGGGUGAACGGCCACAUUGGGACUGGGACACGGCCCAGACUGCUGCGGGAGGCAGCAGGGGGGAAUCUUCCGCAAUGGACGGAAGUCUGACGGAGCAACGCCGCGUUGGUGAUGACGGGCUUCGGGUUGUAAAGCUCUGUUAAUCGGGACGCGGUACCGGAAUAGAAAGCCACGGCUAACUACGUGCCAGCCGCCGCGGUAAUAC